UACAGAGGUCUCAAGCGUUGUUCGGAUUCAUUGGGCGUAAAGGGUGCGUAGGUGGCGCUGUAAGUCGGGUGUGAAAUUUCGGAGCUUAACUCCGAAACUGCAUUCGAUACUGCGGUGCUUGAGGACUGGAGAGGAGACUGGAAUUCAUGGUGUAGCAGUGAAAUGCGUAGAGAUCAUGAGGAAGACCAGUGGCGAAGGCGGGGUCUCUGGACAGUUCCCCGACACUGAGGCACGAAGGCCCGGGGGGAGCAAAAACGGGG
rnacentral:rRNA from 1 species